rnacentral:RNase_P_RNA from 1 species
CAGAAAAAACAUAACCGCGCCGCAAAUGGUGAUGAUACCGUUCUGCGGUGAGGCAAAGUCCGGGCUCCGCCGGAAAGAAUGCCGGGUAAUAACCGGGAUUUUCAAAGGUUUUUGCAAGGCGGAAAUCUUUGAAAAUACAGACAGCGCAACAGAAAACAUACUGCCCGUUUAGGCGGGUGAGGGUGAAAAGGCGUGGUAAGAGCACACCGGCCGUUCGGCAACGCGCGGCGCAUUGCAAGCCUCAUUUGGAGCAAGGUCAAGAAGCGGAGACAUUUCCGGGUCAUGCCGCAGGUAGACCGCUAAAGUUUUUGGGCGACCAAAAAUUAAGAUAGAUGGUUAUGGAUUUUGGAAUUUCCGAAAUCUGCCAGAACUCGGCUUACUGUUUUUUCUGUUUU